UGGGGAAUAUUGCACAAUGGGCGCAAGCCUGAUGCAGCCAUGCCGCGUGUAUGAAGAAGGCCUUCGGGUUGUAAAGUACUUUCAGCGGGGAGGAAGGCGAUAAGGUUAAUACCCUUGUCGAUUGACGUUACCCGCAGAAGAAGCACCGGCUAACUCCGUGCCAGCAGCCGCGGUAAUACGGAGGGUGCAAGCGUUAAUCGGAAUUACUGGGCGUAAAGCGCACGCAGGCGGUCUGUCAAGUCGGAUGUGAAAUCCCCGGGCUCAACCUGGGAACUGCAUUCGAAACUGGCAGGCUAGAGUCUUGUAGAGGGGGGUAGAAUUCCAGGUGUAGCGGUGAAAUGCGUAGAGAUCUGGAGGAAUACCGGUGGCGAAGGCGGCCCCCUGGACAAAGACUGACGCUCAGGUGCGAAAGCGUGGGGAGCAAACA
rnacentral:rRNA from 1 species